UAGGAAGGUAGAUAUGAAAAAGACUAUAUCGUAUCUAUAAUUCAGCCAAACAAUAUCUGAGAAUGAUUUCCGUGGGUUUGACUGGGGGAGUACUGAAGGAAAUCAUUAUCAUUACAGCCAACCUACCCCACCAUCUUACCAUCUAGAUCAGUUGAGUACACCCACUGCAAUCUUCUCUGCCCAGCAUGAUACCCUCUCCCCACCAGCAGACCUUGCAAAAUAUUGCAAAACUCUUCCUAACCUUGUAUUCUCCAGGUCAGUUGAUUUAACCCAUCUUGGGUUUCUGUGGGGAGCAAAUGCUGAAGAGCUGGUGUAUACUCCUAUCCUAGAUCUGCUCAGGAAUCACUCUUCUUCCCUUCAAGAAGAAUAGAAAGAUUAAUAAAA